rnacentral:rRNA from 1 species
GACGAACGCUGGCGGCGUGCCUAAUACAUGCAAGUUGAGCGCUGAAGGUUGGUACUUGUACCAACUGGAUGAGCAGCGAACGGGUGAGUAACGCGUGGGGAUCUGCCUUUGAGCGGGGGGCAACAUUUGGAAACGAAUGCUAAUACCGCAUAAAAACUUUAAACACAAGUUUUAAGUUUUAAAGAUGCAAUUGCAUCCCUCAAAGAUGAUCCCGCGUUGUAUUAGCUAGUUGGUGAGGUAAAGGCUCACCAAGGCGAUGAUACAUAGCCGACCUGAGAGGGUGAUCGGCCACAUUGGGACUGAGACACGGCCCAAACUCCUACGGGAGGCAGCAGUAGGGAAUCUUCGGCAAUGGACGAAAGUCUGACCGAGCAACGCCGCGUGAGUGAAGAAGGUUUUCGGAUCGUAAAACUCUGUUGGUAGAGAAGAACGUUGGUGAGAGUGGAAAGCUCAUCAAGUGACGGUAACUACCCAGAAAGGGACGGCUAACUACGUG